UGCAGGUAGAAUAUACUCAAGAGACUCUUAGAAAUGCACGUUGGUGCCACAAAUAUGACCACAGAACAAAAACCCAUGAGUGUCUUGGAAAUGUUAUCCAAGAGAAAUGAAGAUCAAGAGCUGCUGUACGAUGAAACUGUAGAUGUACAAGCUCAGGAAAAGGGGCACACCAGGGCAGGGAAUGGAAACUUAUCCACCCAUCGUAGACUAACUAGUCAAUUUAAAUAUCUUCCUAUAUAGAGUGAAGUCAACAGAACGACUUCCCGAACUGUGCCUUCAGCACGACCCAGAAACCCCAGAGCUAAGAAAGGAAAGCAAAAUAAGGAAACGUAAUAUGAAGGUCAUAGCAAUAAGACACACACUCCAUGCCCACUGGCGCUAUUAAAUAAAGAUGUGAAUCAA